UACGGAGGAUGCAAGCGUUAUCCGGAAUGAUUGGGCGUAAAGCGUCCGCAGGUGGCUAUGUAAGUCUGCUGUUAAAGAGUCUGGCUCAACCAGAUAAAGGCAGUGGAAACUACAUGGCUAGAGUGCGUUCGGGGCAGAGGGAAUUCCUGGUGUAACGGUGAAAUGCGUAGAGAUCAGGAAGAACACCGGUGGCGAAAGCGCUCUGCUAGGCCGCAACUGACACUGAGGGACGAAAGCUAGGGGAGCGAAUGGG
rnacentral:rRNA from 1 species